rnacentral:lncRNA from 1 species
CGCACGUGAACACCUAGCGCCAUCUCGUUUUGGAUGGCGAAGCUCAAGCUCAAACAAGCAUUCAAGAUGGACGCCUCCGCGUUCUACGGGUCGGCACGUCUCGAAGAUCACUCCCGCUCACGAAGAAGAGUAGGAACGUCAUCAGCUGAGCAAUUUUUACUAAAAAUUGCCAAUGGAAAUGUGUCGGAUGGCGACUUCUCGGACGAUGAGCUGGAUGAGACUGUAUAAAUAACACCUCAAGAGAGCGAACGACCGGC